rnacentral:rRNA from 1 species
GAUGAACGCUGGCGGCGUGCCUAAUACAUGCAAGUCGAGCGAACGGACGAGAAGCUUGCUUCUCUGAUGUUAGCGGCGGACGGGUGAGUAACACGUGGAUAACCUACCUAUAAGACUGGGAUAACUUCGGGAAACCGGAGCUAAUACCGGAUGAUAUUUUGAACCGCAUGGUUCAAAAGUGAAAGACGGUCUUGCUGUCACUUAUAGAUGGAUCCGCGCUGCAUUAGCUAGUUGGUAAGGUAACGGCUUACCAAGGCAACGAUGCAUAGCCGACCUGAGAGGGUGAUCGGCCACACUGGAACUGAGACACGGUCCAGACUCCUACGGGAGGCAGCAGUAGGGAAUCUUCCGCAAUGGGCGAAAGCCUGACGGAGCAACGCCGCGUGAGUGAUGAAGGUCUUCGGAUCGUAAAACUCUGUUAUUAGGGAAGAACAUAUGUGUAAGUAACUGUGCACAUCUUGACGGUACAUAAUCAGAAAGCCACGGAUAACUACGUG